rnacentral:pre_miRNA from 12 species
GGAUUCUCCUAGGACAGUACAUUCUUCUAGGACAGGACACCCUUUGCUACUUUGUACUGGAAGAACAUGCAGCACUGAAAAAAUAUUAUUGCU